GUUCACUAGCUCUCUCAUCAUAAUUCUCUCAACGGGAAGCCUGGUUAUUAUUUAUUCAAUCUAAGAUGACGAUUGGGUAGUUAGUCCUUUUAAUCAACGGUACUCCGACUUGGUGAUUAGCAGGACACGCUAAAGCAAAGAUGAAAGAACUAGUUUGGCGCAAAACAUACUUUAUGUUGCGAUCUCUCUAUACAGUCUCCCGCUUCAAAAGUUGGUUCUCUCUUCAAUUACUAUUCAUCUGCCUAAACAAACAUACCUCGACUCUCUCUCUCUUAAGGGCUUUGGGUUAUCCAACUAGUAGAAAUUGACGUUUAGAUCAUCUCGAAUUCGAUUCAUGAUCGGGUUUAGAUCAUUUUAAGCUUCUCUACCUUUCCCCUCUCUCUUAAUCCCCAAGAACUACUCGAAAAUGAUCUCACAACAAACAUAUCUGAUUUGAAGGAGUCACUUUAAUAGUUCUUGAUUAUUUGUUAUGAAAGAGAUGCGUAUUUUGGCGGUCCGUCUUUGAUGCUGCCGGUAAGAUUAUUCAAGUUUGGAGAUAUUGUAUCACCAAUUCCUACCAUUGUUGUGGAGGAAGGUUAGAGAUCUCAAGGGAGAGAUUGUUCCAAUGGACCUGUUGUAUAUAAUGGAAAGGUUUUUUUGAAGCUGCUCGUAUCUUUUCAUCAUUCAAUGAAUAAUUACUGAAGGGAAACUUUGGUUCAUAUUUGCUGGUUAACUGCUAAACCAUCCUACGCAAAUCCAGCCAUUAUGCAACUAGAGUUUAGCGUGGUUGAUAUUUUUGUCAGUCUGUGCGGACUAGAGUGACAGUCUGGCUAUCAUGAAUGUUGGAUUUUCUGUAAUUUUGCCGAUGUGUACAUAGUUGUAC